rnacentral:rRNA from 1 species
GACGAACGCUGGCGGCAGGCUUAACACAUGCAAGUCGAGCGGAGAUGAGGUGCUUGCACCUUAUCUUAGCGGCGGACGGGUGAGUAAUGCUUAGGAAUCUGCCUAUUAGUGGGGGACAACAUUCCGAAAGGAAUGCUAAUACCGCAUACGUCCUACGGGAGAAAGCAGGGGAUCUUCGGACCUUGCGCUAAUAGAUGAGCCUAAGUCGGAUUAGCUAGUUGGUGGGGUAAAGGCCUACCAAGGCGACGAUCUGUAGCGGGUCUGAGAGGAUGAUCCGCCACACUGGGACUGAGACACGGCCCAGACUCCUACGGGAGGCAGCAGUGGGGAAUAUUGGACAAUGGGGGAAACCCUGAUCCAGCCAUGCCGCGUGUGUGAAGAAGGCCUUAUGGUUGUAAAGCACUUUAAGCGAGGAGGAGGCUACUGAGACUAAUACUCUUGGAUAGUGGACGUUACUCGCAGAAUAAGCACCGGCUAACUCUGUGCCAGCAGCCGCCGUAA